CCACUAGGAGAUCCCGGUGUUAGCAAAGCAAUAGGAGAAGAAGAAUCUUACUAUGAGGAGCUCACUAAUGACCCAAGAAGCCAGCAUGCUUUGACCACGCAGAUGGACAUGCUUGUGACUGAGACAAGUUGCUGACAUGAUGAAAGUCUGAUCCCUUUUGAAACAGCUGCUUAUUACCAACAAAUGGUGGUUCAACUGAAAGGCGGAGGAAGGGCUGUAGGAAUGAAGAGUGUCCGACUCUCUGAGAA